rnacentral:rRNA from 1 species
CAAUUGCUUAUAACCUUUUGGUUAUAAAUAAUUGUUAGUGGCAGACGGGUGAGUAAUGCGUAGGAAUCUACCUAGUAGUAUGGAAUAGCCAUUAGAAAUGAUGGGUAAUACUGUAUAAUCCCUGCGGGGGAAAGAUUUAUCGCUAUUAGAUGAGCCUACGUUAGAUUAGCUAGUUGGUAAGGUAAUGGCUUACCAAGGCUAUGAUCUAUAGCUGGUCUGAGAGGACGAUCAGCCACACUGGAACUGAGAUACGGUCCAGACUCCUACGGGAGGCAGCAGUGGGGAAUAUUGGACAAUGGGCGAAAGCCUGAUCCAGCUAUGCCGCGUGAGUGAAGAAGGCCUUCGGGUUGUAAAACUCUUUCAAUAGGGAAGAUAAUGACGGUACCUAUA